GGUGUAUCGCUUCCUGCCCCCGCCUCCCCUCCCCGCCCCCGUUCUCCGUCCUCUAUUGAAACACCUCGCCCAGCCUAGCGCACUGAGAGCUCUCAUUUUCCCCCCUUGCUCGGGAUGGUGCCACAGGAGGCUGUGCGGGCCCCGCUCCGCUUCGAAUGGAUACAGUUAAGCUAAUGAUCUCGAGAGGAUAUCGUCCUGGAUAAGGGUGGAGCCUACGCCCAAAAACAAGAUUACCUGAAAGAGAAAAGAAAGGGGGAAAACACACAGAGAUACAGUCGGGGAGGCCACAUGAAGAUGGAGGCAGAGACAGGAGUGAUGAGCCUGCAAGCCAAGGAAUGCCAAGGGCUGCCAGCAGCCAUGAGAAGCUGAGAGACACAGAGAACGAGUCCUCUGCCAGAGCCUCCAGAAGGAACUAACCCUGUCAAUACCUUGAUUUCGGACUUCUGGACUCCAGAACUAUAACCCUCCUUCCUCCACCUCACAAAAACUCACAAGCUGCAACCCUUCUGAUGUCCACUCCCACACAAACCAGCUUCAGGCCUUUUUCAAGAUGUGACUGGAGUGAUUUGCACCCGGAUGCCUAGACUCGCCAUCUGCUCAAAGACUGCUCAGAAAGCCCUCCCAUGCAUUCCCCUGCUGCAUACCAGCCCACUCUGCCUGCAGCUGCUGUCUGCAGGACUUCAUAUCUAUGCCACACUGUGUAAAAGCUGUGCUUCAAGAAAUCACAAAAACAUUUUCCUGCACCUACUACACAGCCUGAGUGCGGCAUAAGUUGACCUUGCUUGCUAAGAAAUGGGGCAAGAAAUGCUUUUUUGUGUGUGUCAUGUCUGUUUGUUUUUCAAUUAAGAGAGGAAAGCAUUAGGCAGAUGGAAUGUACAUGUGAGGAUGAGGAGACAGAAAACAAGUAGCCCUUUCCAUCAAGAUAGAGGGUUUUCUGGGGUUGCUGGCUAUUGAAUGUCACUCCUGAUUUCUCUUUCCAAGGCACUGUACCACCAGCCUACUGAGAUUGUGUGGGAGCUUUCAUGGGGGUUGUAUUUCACUGAUGAAAAUAAAUUUUUUGCAUAAUGUG
rnacentral:lncRNA from 1 species